rnacentral:tRNA from 1 species
GGAUGGGUGGCCGAGCGGUUGAAGGCACCGGUCUUGAAAACCGGCAAGGGCGCAAGCUCUUCGUGGGUUCGAAUCCCACCCCAUCCGCCA